GCUACUUAGGGCUUAUCUGGGUCCAGCUAAACUUCCUGAUGAUCCAAACAUGUAGCUAAAAGUGAACUAAAAAUUAACCACCCCUCCAAACCCAGCUGAUGGGAGCUAAUUUCAGACCACGGAUGCUAAAAUACCAAAAUAUCCUCCACUAAAAGAACGAGGUGUUGCAGCAAGCUUCACUAGAAAUAUAAUAGAUUUUGAUCGAUACAUGGCUAAAAGUUAGGGUCUGUUUGGCAUAGUUCUGGCUCCGGCUAAAACAGCUCUGGCUCUGGCUUAUCCGGAAAAGUAGUUUUUUUGACUCUGGCUUGUCUUGUUAGAAAAAAAACACUUGGUAAAACAGCUCCUCCUAACUUUUUAGAAUGAAUAGAACCUAUGAAAUGUCCAAAACACCCUUAUCUUUUCUUCCUCUACUCCUUUUUCUAAAUUCCCUUUUCCAUCUUUUUUUUUCCUUUUUCCUUCCCCUACCAAUUUUUUUCCUUCCCGUCUCCUCUUUCAUAUCCACUCUGUCCACCUCUCUUGCGUGGCUCUCUUUUUCCUUUUCUUUUUCUUUUUUUGCCUAGCGGGCCUUGUCUCCUUCGUGCCGUGGCUUGCGAGGCAGCAAAAGCAGUGCUCGUCCGGCCUCUCGCCUGGCGGCUGGCGCCCGCUGAGGAGCUCGCGCGGCUGCCCGUCGACCUCGAGCUCACGCGCUGCGAAGCUCGCGCGGGGUUGACGCGCGGCCGGCCGCCUGUGGCUCGCACCGCCUGGGAAGCAGGCUCCGCGCCGUCCACUGCCACGCGCCGCGCGCCUACGCUCCGCCCGCUGGUCCUCCCUGCCCUGCAAAGCUCUGCGCGCCCGUCGGUGAGACAGUGAGAAGCCGACGAUCAGUACAAAAUGGAGGCUGGCUUUUAGCGGCUUUGUGAUGGAAGCCGUUUAUGCGUGGAGCCUUUGGCAGGUUCAGCUUCCGCAUGUGCUUUUGUUAUCAGAAAGCUGAACGCUAAGGGUCGAAACUUGCAACAGUUUUGAACGAACGUAGUGUAAUUUGCAAA